AGUCUGUGCCAGCAGCGCGGGUAAUUCCAGCUCUCAANAUGCAUAGAAUUAUGCUGCGGUAAAAAGCUCGUAGUUGGAUCUGUGCUAGCCGUCCGGUGCACACUUUGUGUGUUACUGGUUUGGUUGGCUUUUCUGCCGGUCUCUCCCCGGCGUUGGCCUUUACCGGUCGGCGUCGGUGGGCUGGCGAGUUUACUUUGAACAAAUCAGAGUGCUUCAAACAGGCGUUUCGCUUGAAUGUUCGUGCAUGGAAUAAUAGAAGAGGAUUUCGGUCCGAUUUUAUUGGUUUUGCUGACCGAGAUAAUGGUUAACAGAGACAAACGGGGCCAUUCGUAUUGCUACGUGAGAGGUGAAAUUCUUGGACCGUAGCAAGACGGACUACAGCGAAAGCAUUUGGCAAGAAUGUCUUCAUUAAUCAAGAACGAAAGUCAGAGGUUCGAAGGCGAUCAGAUACCGCCCUAGUUCUGACCGUAAACGAUGCCAACUAGCGAUCCGCCGGCGGAUUUAUUCGCCCUGGUGGGGAGCUUCCCGGAAACGAAAGUCUUCCGGUUCCGGGGGAAGUAUGGUUGCAAAGCUGAAACUUAAAGGAAUUGACGGAAGGGCACCACCAGGAGUGGAGCCUGCGGCUUAAUUUGACUCAACACGGGGAAACUCACCCGGCCCGGACACCGUAAGGAUUGACAGAUUGAUAGCUUUUUCAUGAUUCGGUGGAUGGUGGUGCAUGGCCGUUCUUAGUUCGUGGAGCGAUUUGUCUGGUUUAUUCCGAUAACGAGCGAGACUCUAGCCUACUAAAUAGUUGGCUCAUUGCUUCUGUGGGCACAACUUCUUAGAGGGAUUUUCGGUGUUCAGCCGCACGAAAUUGAGCAAUAACAGGUCUGUGAUGCCCUUAGAUGUCCGGGGCUGCACGCGCGCUACACUGGCAAAAUCAGCGUGCUUGUCCUUCCCCGAAAGGGGUUGGUAAACCGGUGAAAAUUUGCCGUGAUUGGGAUCGGACAAUUGCAAUUAUUGUCCGAGAACGAAGAAUUCCUUGUAGGGGCGAGUCAUCAACUCGCUCUGAAUACAUCCCUGCCCUUUGUACACACCGCCCGUGGCUGCCCGGGACUGACCCAUUUCGAGAAAUUCAGGGACGGAUAGAGUACCGGCUUCGGACGGUAUGCAUACUGUAACCUAUUUAAUCGCAGUGGUUUGAACCGAGCAGAAGACGAAACCAAGUAACUGUAAGUGAACCUGCUGCUG
rnacentral:rRNA from 2 species